GCAGCCGCCUCUUCUGGUGAUCUUUUUCUCGCUUCUCCUGACUCCCUGCGUUCUCAAUUCUUUCGAUUUGCUGCCCUUGCUUUGAUGUUCUUGUUCGCAUAGCCUUCUCUCUCGUGGUAUUUCUGAAGUUCUUCGGAUGAAUCCGCGGUUAGUUAGUUUGUUUGUGUUUUCUGAAGCAACAGUUUUGCUGGUCAAAUGAUGAGAGAUAUAACUGCAACAAUAUGAUCCAUGAUGUGAUUCUUAGUAUUUA
rnacentral:sRNA from 1 species